UUUAUGUUUUCAUUAAUCGUAAUACUAGAUGAACAGACCAAUAUGAAAAUACUUUUACUUUUAUUAUAGCUCCAGUAAUACUUAAAAACGGGGUACUUUUGCAAAUUAUGAAGAAAACUACUUUUUAGACUAUAUGAGUCGUAAAUAUCUCAAAAACUGUGAUACUUAGGAG